GAUGAACGCUAGCGGCAGGCUUAACACAUGCAAGUCGAGGGGUAACAGGGAAGCUUGCUUCCGCUGACGACCGGCGCACGGGUGCGUAACACGUAUGGAAUCUGCCCUUUACUGGAGAAU
rnacentral:rRNA from 1 species